AUUGAACGCUGGCGGCAUGCCUUACACAUGCAAGUCGAACGGUAACAGGUCUUCGGAUGCUGACGAGUGGCGAACGGGUGAGUAAUACAUCGGAACGUGCCUAGUAGUGGGGGAUAACUACUCGAAAGAGUGGCUAAUACCGCAUGAGAUCUACGGAUGAAAGCAGGGGAUCGCAAGACCUUGUGCUACUAGAGCGGCCGAUGGCAGAUUAGGUAGUUGGUGGGAUAAAAGCUUACCAAGCCGACGAUCGGUAGCUGGUCUGAGAGGACGAUCAGCCACACUGGGACUGAGACACGGCCCAGACUCCUACGGGAGGCAGCAGUGGGGAAUUUUGGACAAUGGGAGCAAGCCUGAUCCAGCGAUGCCGCGUGCAGGAUGAAGGCCUUCGGGUUGUAAACUGCUUUUGUACGGAACGAAAAGCCCUGGGUUAAUACCCUGGGGUCAUGACGGUACCGUAAGAAUAAGCACCGGCUAACUACGUGCCAGCCGCCGCCGUAAGAC
rnacentral:rRNA from 1 species